rnacentral:misc_RNA from 1 species
UACGGAGGGGGCUAGCGUUUUUCUUAAUUACUGGGCGUAAAGCGCGCGUAUGCGGACUGGAAAGUCAGAGGUGAAAUCCCAGGGCUCAACCUUGGAACUGCCUUUGAAACUAUCAGUCUGGAGUUCGAGAGAGGUGAGUGGAAUUCCGAGUGUAGAGGUGAAAUUCGUAGAUAUUCGGAGGAACACCAGUGGGGAAGGAGGCUCACUGGCUCGAUACUGACGCUGAGGUGCGAAAGCGUGGGGAGCAAACAGG